rnacentral:lncRNA from 1 species
AUUUGAUAACCCUUGGGUCCUUUCCAGUUCAGGAUAUUCUGUAAUUCUAUGGAGAUGUCCCUUUCUGACAAUGAAGUACUGUUCCAGCAAGAGCCCUGUCCAAGUGCCGACUCUGCCACAGUCCUGACAUCCUGUGCUGUGUAACCAAGACUCUUGCAUGCUUUGCAUUUUGCACAGCUGCCUGAAGUCAAGUUGAACGUUCAUGCUGCUCUCAAAGCUUUACACAACAGAGGGACAUGGAGUUUUGUGAAGAAAAAGCUGGCUGCCAUGCUGCAAACUCCACCAGAAAGGCUUUGGACAAGCAACCACUGACUGAGAAAAGAACUCCAACAUUAACACCUUCUGUGUCAGCACUUCUGGAGAGAGGACAAAAAGACAAACAGACCUCUUCAGAUAUAAUGAAGAAAACAGGAAAAUCUGUGUCAAUGUCUGCUGUGAAAAAUUCUCCAGGAAAGUUUGGACUACAAGCGGACAACAGAAAAAAAGAGUGA